rfam:Porphyromonas macacae strain COT-192_OH2859 contig_28, whole genome shotgun sequence.
UGCACCCGGGUAAGUCCUAUACGGUCAGCUCCCAUUGAUUCCCCCAGGGCUUGAUCGCAGCAAGGGUAUUUGGUCGUAGCGACGCGAUAUGGUAAGCUUACCCAUCU